rnacentral:rRNA from 1 species
GACAGAGGGGGCCAGCGUUGUCCGGAUUGACUGGGCGUACAGCGCGCGCAGGCGGUUGGUGACGUGCCGUGUGACAGCUUGCUGCUCACCAGCAAGUGGUCACGGUAGACGCAUCGACUAGAGGGACCGAGAGGGAUGUGGAAUACCCGGUGGAGCGGUGAAUGCGUAGAGAUCGGGUGGAACACCAGGGGCGAAGGCGGCAUCCUGGCGGUCAACUGACGCUGAGGCGCGAGAGCGUGGGGAGCAAACGGG